rnacentral:rRNA from 1 species
CCUACGGGAGGCAGCAGUAGGGAAUCUUUCACAAUGGGCGAAAGCCUGAUGGAGCAACGCCGCGUGCAGGAUGAAGGCCUUCGGGUUGUAAACUGCUUUUAUAAGCGAGAAAUAUGAUGGUAACUUAUGAAUACUGAUCGGCUAACUACGUGCCAGCAGCCGCGGUCAUACGUAGGAUCCGAGCAUUAUCCGGAGUGACUGGGUGUAAAGAGUUGCGUAGGUGGCAUAAUAAGUAGCUAGUGAAAUCUGGUGGCUCAACCAUUCAGACUAUUGGCUAAACUGUUAAGCUCGAGACCGUUAGGGGUAACUGGAAUUUCUAGUGUAGGAGUGAAAUCCGUAGAUAUUAGAAGGAACACCAAUAGCGUAGGCAGGUUGCUGGGACGGGUCUGACACUAAGGCACGAAAGCGUAGGGAGCAAACGGGAUUAGAUACCCUUGUAGUC